GGGGAGUGGAUGGGCUUCAAGCUCACGACCAGUGGUUCCUUGGCAGGGGUCCCACCCUGCCCCUCCUGGGGCCUCUGGUCCAGGCUGUGUCCCAGAGGUGGCCCUGGCUAAUGGUGAUGCAGAUUAGGGGAGGGGGAGGGUGUGGCCUGGGGGAUUCACUCUUGCCUUUGCCCUGCCCACCAACACUGCGGCACUCUGCCGUUCAGCCCAGUUCCAAAUAAUGCCAGGCCCUGUGUCCUGUGCCGAGGAGCCAGCCCAGCGCAGUUCCUGCCCCCUGUACCCCACGGCAGGCACCGUGUGGGUUGAGGUCCAUCCAUUACCUCAACUACCCACUGAAACCCUCUGAGGGAGGGAACAUGUCCUCUCUUCACAGAUGUGGAAACUGAGGCUUAGAGAGGUCUACUGGUGAAGAGGGGCAGACCACUGGUCUUGCUGGUUCAAAAGCGUGUCCAUGAUGUGACACUGCCCUGGUUGAAUUUGACGUCUCUUUUUGCUGCCCUCAGAGGGACGCUGCCCACAGGCUGGUCCCACCUGCAGUUUAUCAUGGCACACACUCACUCAUCUCUCCCGCCCUUCCUCUUCCACCUCGCCAUGCGACAUGCUGUGUGCGUGCACACACACACACACCCUCCUGUGGAACAGCCAGGCCCCCAAGCUCAGCUGCUCUGCUACAGAGACACCCACAGGGCCAGAGCCCCGGCCACCACCGCCCUCCCCAGGGCACUCCAAGGGCUUUUUCCAGACUGGGGCUGUUCUGGUCCCUAGUAAACAGUGGAACAUCCGAGGGGCCCCAGAGGGGCUAAGCAUUCUGCCUGUGUUCCUCAGAGCCCUCAAGACAGACCCCAAGUGGAGAGCUGCAGGCUCAGUGCCACCCACGAUAACAUGACCUGGUGCCAGAGACCAAAGACCUGGGUUCUGGUCUGCCCCUGCCCUGCAAGCUGUCCCACUUUGAGCAAGUCAGCACCCCUCUCUGGAUGUGAAUUUCCUUGCUGGUUACUUGGGGAGGUUAGAGUGAUAAUCUCUCCAGCCACUCACACCUACCACACAGACGUGUGGAGCUUAGACAAGUCAGGGCACCAAGAGAUUCCUGGGAAAAGGAUCCACCUGCGCCACCCCAGCCAUGGGAGAGCAGGGGGCAGACAGCUCCCAAAAAGGCCCCAUGCCUCGUGGACCUGCCCAGAGACCCGCAAGACUCACUGCUGCAGGAGACAGGGUGGAGCCUUGGGCAGCUUCUCAGAAAUAUAGCAACCCCCUGCCCUCCCAGGACAUAAUCUGAGCAAUUUUCUGGCUUUGAAGACUUUCCGUGACUUGUCCCCACACCCUCUCCAGACCCUUCUCCUACUUCCCUGCCCCUUCCCAGUCCACAGAUCCAGCCACACCUCAGGGGGUCCUUAACUCCACUCCCUUGGGUUAGGAGCAGCAUCAGCCUCUGCCACAGGCCAUGCACUCCAGUAGACAAGACUGUUCCUUCGCCUCAGUUCCCCAGACAUGUUCAUUAGAGUUUUGGCCACUAACCAUCUCCUAGCAUCUACCCAGAGGCCUCCAGCGCUGCCUGGCUGCCUGCAUUACCACCCACACAACCAUACCUGGGGCCUGUCCGGAGGCCUCUGUGCCAGAUUCCCUGUACCGUGUUAUACCUGGGCCCCUGUGCGACAUUCUACCAUUUUAAAGACCAAGAGAGGCUUCGGUUGACCAAAUCUUUCCAUGUAAGGAGUCCUCAGGGAAAACAAAUUCUGAACCAUGAAGUCAGGUUGGGAGCCCCUAGUGGCCUGGGACCCAGCCAAGCCCAGAACCCAGACUGGGGGAAAAUGUGGGUGGAUCCCCCGCAGCACCACACACAGAACCUCAGCCUAUCACAGCUCCAAUGGGCCUUAAGCGUCUCCUCCAGAGGUGGCUUUCAAAGUGGGAAGGAGAGAGGGCAGUUCCUUCUGUUUCCAGAGAGCCACCCCUCCAUGUCCAGGACCCACCCCACACUCAGCCUGCUGACCCGCUCCAGCGGUGUCCACCGUGCCUGCACCUUAGCACCCCCUGAGCGGCUUUUACAACAGGUCCAUGCCCAGGCUCCACGUGGGCCAUCAGAAUCAGAACUCUUGGUCUUUAAAAUGCUAGAAUGUUGCACCCAUGGACCUGGGUGUGACCUGGGCAUCAGUAUUUUUCAAGAGCUCCUCAGGUGCUUUUACGCAGCAGGCCAGUCUAUGAACACUUGAUCUCAUCCAACCAACUCACCUGUUUAACAGAUGGCGGUACUGUUGUUUAUUUGAACCCAUCUUCUCUCCUUUGCUAGACUAUGCUGGUUCACCUCUGGAUCUGCUUUCCCACCCCCAGCUGGCUUUCCUAUAACGGCCAUAAAGGGCUGGAAGCAGAUUGGUGAGCACUUGUUUGUGCCAAGUGGUUCUUAUGCCUGCCCUUAUUUAAUCCUCACAAUGGCCCUGCAUGGUUGAUGUUCCCAUCCCCAUUUACAGGUGAAAAAACUGAGAAGCAGAGGCAAGAAGUCUCUCAGGGUCACACAGUGAACCAGUGGAGGAGCAGGAAUUGGACCCCAUUCCAAAGCCACAGGGCUUCCUGGGGCCUGGUGCAGAGAAGCAGAACUGCCCAUGUCAGUAGCAGGUCCCUUGAGCUCUGCCCUGAAGCCUCCACAGAAGAACCCAAGUUGGAACCUCCAGGCACCAAUUCAUCCCCCAUCUUGCCUUGAUUUCCUGACUGUUCUUGUCCACAUCCACAGAGUUGUCGUCCAGGGAGUUGACGCUGUAAGAGAGGUGAUGGAGCUCAGGUGUUGGCAGGCCCAGUCCUCCCUUACUGUGCCCAAGAACCACCACCUCCAUCACCACCAUCACCAUCACCACGACUACCACCAUCAUCACCAUCACCACCACCACCAUCAUCACAACUACCAUCAUCACUACCAUCAGCACCAUCACCAUCACCUCAACACCAACACCACCACCACCACUAUCAUCAUAAUCACUAUCACCACCACCAUCACCAUCACCUCAACACCAACACCACCACCACCACCGUCAUCAUCCAUCAUCACCACCAUCACCAUCACCUCAACACCAACACCACCACCACCAUCAUCAUCAUAACCAUCACCACCACCAUCACCAUCACUACCAUCACCAUCACCACCAUCACCUCAACACCAACACCACCACCACCACCAUCACCAUCACCACCAUCACCAUCACCACCAUCAUCACCUCAACACCAACACCACCACCACCAUCAUCAUUGUCAUCAUCACCAUCAUCACCACCAUCACCAUCAGCACCAUCAUCACCUCAACACCAACACCACCACCACCAUCAUCAUUGUCAUCAUCACCAUCAUCACCACCAUCACCAUCACUACCAUCACCAUCACCACCACCAUCACCACCACCACCACGAUAACUGCCACCACUACCAUGACCACCAUGACCACCACCAUCACCAUUGCCACCACCAUCACCCACCACCACUACCAUCACCACCAUCACCUCAACACCAACACCACCACCACCACCACCGUCAUCAUCACCAUCAUCACCACCAUCACCAUCACAACCAUCACCAUCACCUCAACACCAACACCAUCAUCACCACCAUCACCAUCACAACCAUCACCAUCACCUCAACACCAACACCAUCAUCACCACCAUCACCAUCACAACCAUCACCAUCACCUCAACACCAACACCACCACCACCACCACCAUCGUCAUCAUCACCAUCAUCACCACCAUCACCAUCACAACCAUCACCAUCACCUCAACACCAACACCAUCAUCACCACCAUCAUUGUUGUCAUCAUCACCACUGUCACCAUUGCUACCAUCACCAUCACCUCACUACCAUCACCACCACCACCAUAACUACCACUACUACCAUGACCACACCAUCACCAUUGUCAUCACCAUCAUCACCACCAACACCAUCACCACCACCACCGUCACUACCUGUACCACCACCACCACCUAGCCUGGCUGUGAGGGGCACUGCUCACCUGACAGAGUCCAGGUCAUUGGAGGGAGAGAGGUACUCCAAGCCCAGGUCUUUGUUGGGGAGGUUCAGCAUGGGGUUGGCUCUGGAGAGAAAGCCUGGUCAAGUUGCCUGGCCCUCAGCCACCCCACCAGGCCUCUUACCUACCCUUUGACCCCUGCUCACCGCUCAGUGUUGUACAUGUUAGUCCCUGGGAUGGCAGGGGCUGAGGGCAUCACCCCUGCUGCUGUCUUCCUGGCCUCCUUGGCAGCCUUCAUAGCUUGAAGCUUCCGGUUGUAGCUGUGGGGAACCGGAAGAGGGGUCACACUGUUGCUGCACACCUGUUGUGUCCCCAGUGGAGGCCCUGAGCCUGUGGCUUCACAAGAUCCCGGGAGGUGAGUGUUAGCUCUAUUUUACAGAGGGUAGAAGUAAGAGCCAGAGAAGGCAAGUGAUUUGCCAAAGGUCAAAUAGCCAGUGACAAGGCUUGAAGUCAAGCCCAGAUACGGCUGCUGACUCUAUACAUGUUGGAAAAAGCAGCAGCAUCUAUUAAACGCAUAGUGUGUGCCAGACGUCUAGCUGGGUGUGAGAUGCAUGUUACUUCCUUGAGUGCACUGAGGAAUCAAGUCUCAUGCCCUUUCACAGAUAAGGAAACUGAGGCCCGUGGAGGGGAGGUGACUCACCCAAGAUCUCGCACUGGGUCACUGGGGAGUGAAUGCAUGUAUACCUGUGCCUAAGCCCCAGCUCCUUCUACCCCUACCCCCCGACGUCUUGGGUGGUGGGAGAGGGUGAAGGUUGGAGACACGGGGGCAAUGGGAGCCGCACCUCUUCCGCACACACACGAAGGCCAUGGUCAUGAUCACAAGGACCAGCAGCAAAGCCACUCCCAAUCCUAUGAUGACACUGAUGAGCUGUUUCGACAGGUCUGACUCCUGGCUCUCCUGGGAGCCCUGGAGAAAGAUGAGUGUGAGGGAAGCACACUCGUCUUCAGCAGCCCCACCUGCUGCCCCGCCCUGCCCGCACUCACCAGCACCACCAGCCCCAGCUGCAGCAGCUGCGUCAGCGAGUCCUGAUCAUUCCGGAUCAUCCUGGCCACAGAACUCCACUUAGGCCCGAGGGACCUUGGCACACCCCAGGCUUCCUGCUCACCCUCACACCUGCCCCAAGGGCAGCCCCACUCACACACUCAGCUCAUCAAGGGUCAGGGCUGACCCAUUGGGGAAGACAAAGUAGGCAUCGAGGUAGGAGUGAGGUCGGGCCCUGGAGCGGGACAGAGUUGAAGAGUCAGGAGCCUGGAUCACCCAGCAGGCCCCUCCUGCUACCGCUUCUCCCCCUCAACCCCACCCCCAGGCCUCUGGGCACUCACCGAGCUGCAGAAUCUAUGUCCUGAAUGUCCACAAUGUAUACUGUAGUCCUGGUUGCCUGGGUAAGAGCCCUGCAAAGAAGGCAGAUGUCACAGAGGCCUGGGGUCUUAGCCUGGGCCUGUGGCCAGGGCUGUGCCAGUGGGAUUAAGAAUUGUAUGAGUGAGAAAGGGC
rnacentral:lncRNA from 1 species